rnacentral:tRNA from 1 species
GCCCCCGUAGGGUAGUGGAUAUCCCGGAGGUCUCCGGAACCUCUAACCCGGGUUCAAUUCCCGGCGGGGGCG